CGACAGUGUGAGCCGCUUGACGGUAAACAUAACUUCAUCGCUGCUGUAACUGAAGAGCGCGCAGCAGCGCCUCACGCGCCAGGAGCGAGUAUUUGGCCACAAACAAAUAAACAUAGCUCCCAAAAACAGGUAAAGGAGUUUGACUGCAGUUACAUCAGAUGAACACACGGCGGCGGCCGAGUUCCAUCAUUCACCAGAACGAGAGGCAACCUAUGGCACUUGCUCGUCUUCACUGCCGGUGACAUUAUGUGGAAAAAUCAAAGCGAACUGUGUGAUGGAUACGUGGGCCUGGUUAAAAUACCCUCUGCAGAUCCUCAUCGCCAAUUAGAUGGCUGAUAGAUGGCAUUAUCAGUCACGUUAAUGAGCACGGACUGACACGCGUGCCUGCUGUGGUCACCUGGCCUACGUGCCCCCGGUACCAUGCCGCACCACAUUUACCAGUUCCCAUCCAGCUGGGCACGUUAAACAUUGAUAGGCCAAAAAUGUGAUCCUGCUUCCAUGAGUGCCGUAGUUGAGUCAUACACUAUGUUAAGUUCGUUUACAAACAGCACGUGCAGCUUGAACCCGAUGAAGAGCUUCUUCAUCGCUGGCAAACGAUAAGUUGCAGCUUCGACUCAGUGGAUCACAGUUUGCAGUCAGAUUUGUCCCAGCGCUCGAGAAUCACAGCUUUAUUAGGUCUACUUUUACAGUCUUCCCAGCUAACAAAUCCCCGAGAAGCAGACAUUGAGCUGAAGCAUGAGAGAGCAGUGCGCACUCGACAUGAUAGCUUCAGCUGUGACAGCAUUCUGCUGCUGCGGUCUGGAGCCUCGGGGUCUGGCGGUCGAGGGUUCGAGAUCCACUGUUGGUCAUCAGAGGGAUAAGAAGGCCGGUUCGCGACCUGUCAUAGCCACGGGCGAGUGAGAAUAGCUCAAAGCCUUUGCUUGGGAUUCUGGGAUUGAGAUGUACUGGUGAAGUGAAUUAUUCU
ensembl:lncRNA